rnacentral:lncRNA from 1 species
UGCGCUUAGCCGCAAGGCAGAAUUGGCGGCGAUGUCAAGAGUUCAGGUGGAGCUCUUGGAUCCUAUCAAGGAUGGAAUGGCGCAUGAUCCUUUAGCCAAGCAACACAUGCAUAUGGCUAAAGAUGGGAAAACUAAACAAUUUUGGGUCGAAGGCGACUUGUUGCGCACCAAGGGACAACAGAUUAUGUUCCCAAAUGGAAGAGGUGGCGCAAGGGCAUCAUCAAGGAGUGCCAUGAUACCCGAUGACUAAACAAUUCUGGGUCGAAGGCGACUUAUUGCGCACCAAGGGACAACGGAUAUACGUUGCCAAAUGGAAGAGGUUGCGCAAGAACAACACAAAGGAGGCCAUAACACCCGAUGGGCGGGUCAUCCGGGACGAGAGCGCACUCAGGCGUUGAUAGGGGCUAACUACUAUUGGCCUCGCAUAAGGAACGAGUCACAUCGGGCACCUCCAGCCAUUGCGACAUCAUUUGACAGGGAAGUUGAAAGCAUCAUGGCUGACCGGGUGAUUCGGCGAAGGUUCGAGGAACCAUUGCAUGAAUAUCUUGUCAAGUGGAAGGGACUACCGGAAAGCAAGGCAAGCUGGGAGCCAAAGGAGGCGCUUUGGCAAUUCGAAGAUCAAAUCCAAACUUUCCACGAAGAGUCGACGAGGGCGUCGACGCAAUAGGUGGGGGAGGUUGUCACGCCCCUACGUUUUCUAAGAGGUUAUGCCAUGCGGGAGAUGACUGGGCGACACAUUGGUGAUGAUUUGGCGCACGGAUGGCAGCAUUUCUCUAGCUAAGUCUAGAUCCUUCCAAUGGAAGACUCUAGAUCCUUCUAGUCCCAUCUUGUAUAUUCUACUAGGUGUAGA